ACAAUGUGCGAGAUUUAAUACCAAAUGGACGUAAUACAGUUAUUGUUAUGGAAAAGACCAAACUUGAAUAUAUUAGCCUUAUGUGUCAAAUGAAAAUGACUGGAGCAAUUUGUAAGCAGUCUAUUCUUGAAAGGAUUUUAUGAUAUUAUGCUUAACCCUUACGAGGUAACGUCGGGUCACUCGUGCCUCGGCAAAAGUGACUCUCAUUGGUAGCUCGGGGAGGAGGAAAGGGAGCCCGACAGAACUGUGCUGGAAAAAAUUGUAUAGUAGUAGGCUACUAGAUUUCCAAGUGCCGACUCCGCAGUACCUUACCAGCAGUCGUGAGAGCCAGACAUAUUUUGGAAAAGGCACGAGUGAUCCGACGUUACCGACAACGAGUGCAAAUAGUGCAAGGAUAGUAAAUGAGUCACCAAGAAUUUUUUCAGAUUUUUUAAAGCAUUUUUAAGCAAAAUUUUAAUCAUCGGACACGAGUGACCCGACGUUACCGUGUAAAGGUAGUAAAAAUUACGUUACCUCGUAAGGGUUAAACGACCAAUUUUCAUAUUUAAUGAACAAGAACUUGAACUAUUGAUCAGUGGCUUGCCUACUGUAAAUAUCUUAAAGGAGGAUCUUAAAGCAAAUAUUGAGUAUCAUAAAUACACUGCUACGUUUUUAUAGAUUCAAUGGUUCUGCUGCAUUGCGAGGUUUUAAUCAAGCGGAUUGUUCGAAGUUCUUACAAUUCAUCACUAGUACAUCUAAAGUGUCGUUACAAGGUUUUGCUGCGUUAAAAGGCAUGAACGGCAUACAAAAGUUCCAAAUUCACAGAAAAGACAAGUUGACAGACAGGCUUUCAUUUGCACAUAUUUGUUUCAAUCAACUGGAUUUGCCAGUGUACGAGACGUUUGAUAAACUCUGAACAAAUCUACUCAAGGCGACUUACGAAUGCACCAAAGAAUUUGGAUUUGCAUAAGCUUACCAGAAUUUGCUCCUGUACAAUUUCCUGCGUUCAAUCGAUGAUAUUCUAGAGACCAAACUUAUGGUUGGAUCUUUACAGCCAGUGAUAACAUUCCGGACGUGCAAUGGCCUAUUGCUUGCAAAAUUUUUAACGUACAUACAAAAAUUGUUAUACGCAAUGCUAUAUGUAAAACUAUCUUGUGAACGUAGCGAAUCACAGUGCUCUAAUUGCUAUAAUAUGUAUUAUUACACUUAUACGACUUUAUAAAUACGAAAUAUAUAUUUUCAUUUUAUCAUACACAUUAA